UCAGGCAUCUUCGUGCGCCCACCGUCGUAUAAAUUCGAUUAGAAUCAAUCCCACAAAUCAGUCCACGUGCUAAGAAGAUGGAUUCUUGAUAGAAAAGUGAUAAACGAAGGAAAGAACGAGUAAAGGAUCUUCGAAAUCUGUCCUCGGAGAUUUUCCAAGAUUGCGGAGUAGAGACAAAGCACCGUUACUUCCUUCAGCCAAGGCCUUCUCACGCUCUGGCGCACCAAAAUGGCGGCAUAAAAAAUGGAAAGAGAAAAAGGUGGUAGACAGAGGAGGCAGAGAGGAGAAGGAUGAAAAUGGUGCUUGAGAAUAUUGUCACCGGUCACGAGAACUCGUCCCGUGUGCGUGCGCGAGGGCGUUCACGAUCCUCGUCUAAAGCCGUGAAUCUUUUUCGAAAUGUACCGACUCCGCUCGGUUACAUUUACGUGUGCGGAAGGACCUCCUUGCUAAAAUGAAUUCUACGAUCUUUAGCAGAGCAUACAACAGAGCUCUGGAUCUUUAAAAGAAAGCACAUCGUGGACUCAACGAACGAUACGAUAGAUCACUACACGGCCGAGGGAACUAAGCAGGGUGAUCCAAAUAAAUAUCUCAACGUAGCUCAUGAAUCACUGAUAGGAUCACGCCACGAGCACUUUUUCCUCCGUUCUCCUCCGCCUGCAGGGUCGGGUCUCAUUUGGAAGACUGGGAGUCCUCGUAGUUGAUAGGUGUCGCAUGAUUGAAAGGGAACGCUUCGGAGAGCAGAGUAAGAGAGAUGGAAGGAAAAGAGAGAGCGAAAGAGAGAGACAGAAGGAUAGAGGUAGCAUCCCACCCUGCUUUCUUAAACAGAGAGCAAGAUCUUCGAAGAAGAUACAAGGGCAAGAGCCGAUCUCACGAAGGCCAGACAUAAACUGGCUGGUAUACACGUGUACCAUGGUUAUAUGUUAGAGGGAUGCAUUGUACGAACGAACGAAGAAUGAAGAAAAUUAUGCACGUACGUGUUGCAAGGCGUGUCCUAGGAUUUACUUCCGUCACAACGAUAGAUAGAAAUGACAGGAGAGAUGCUGUUAUACAAAGCUGCGGGACGCUUGUCGAACGCCCCUCUUCACCGUUUCAAUGCUACAAUCGUUUCGGACUACUGACAACUGUAACACCAUAGAACGACGAGUGAGAUACCCAUGAGAAUCUCGUUCCAAAUUCAUGUGGGCGUAAGACGAUGUGACGAUUACGACUAUGAAACGCACAAUUUCUCGAGACAGAUAAAAAGUUUUAACUACUCGACGUCGGCAGUCAGAGGAAUGACAAAGAACUUUCAAACGAUCCGACAAUGUCCGCCUGACUGACGCAGGACACGAGCCCGUAAGACUUGUUUUCUUUCGACACCACAAACGACAGCGAACGUUUUAGAUGUAACAUAGCGGCAAACGGCAUCAACGACGGAUGAGAGUGAAAGAGAGAGUGAGAUCAUGGACCACUCACGUCGUACGAGGAAGCGGCUUCUCCGUGCACUUUUUGCCGCUUGUGUAAUUGAGCCUGUCUCGUCCGACUACCGUCCAAAUGAAUUACGAGGCGCCGUCCGCGUCGUCCUCGUGAAUUCCUUCCGUGGAAGCACUUUUAUCCCCAUCUCUGUCUUUAGCUUUCAUAUCGAUUACACCCAAAAAGAAUUAUUCGAAAAAUAUAUCGAUUCAUCGAUUAUAUCUACGUAACUGCAAGAAAGUAAUGAGAAAAAUAAUAAUUGUUACAACUGGCAU